rnacentral:rRNA from 1 species
ACUCCUACGGGAGGCAGCAGUGGGGAAUAUUGGACAAUGGGCGCAAGCCUGAUCCAGCCAUGCCGCGUGAGUGAUGAAGGCCCGUAGGGUUGUAAAGCUCUUUCAGCGAGGAGGAUAAUGACGUUACUCGCAGAAGAAGCCCCGGCUAACUUCGUGCCAGCAGCCGCGGUAAUACGAAGGGGCUAGCGUUGUUCGGAAUCACUGGGCGUAAAGCGCACGUAGGCGGACUUUUAAGUCAGGGUGAAAUCCCGGGGCUCAACCCCGGAACUGCCUUUGAUACUGGAAGUCUUGAGUCCGAGAGAGGUGAGUGGAACUCCGAGUGUAGAGGUGAAAUUCGUAGAUAUUCGGAAGAACACCAGUGGCGAAGGCGGCUCACUGGCUCGGUACUGACGCUGAGGUGCGAAAGCGUGGGAGCAAACAGGAUUAGAUACCCUGGUAGGACAGU